UACGGGGGGGGUAAGCGUUGUUCGGAAUUACUGGGCGUAAAGGGCUCGUAGGCGGCCAACUAAGUCAUACGUGAAAUCCCUCAGCUUAACUGGGGAACUGCGUGUGAUACUGGAUGGCUUGGAUUUGGGAGAGGGAUGCGGAAUUCCAGGUGUAGCGGUGAAAUGCGUAGAUAUCUGGAGGAACACCGGUGGCGAAGGCGGCAUCCUGGACCAAUAUUGACGCUGAGGCGCGAAAGCUAGGGGAGCAAACGGG
rnacentral:rRNA from 1 species